ACUCAUACCUUGCAGGGGAAAUAUCAUGGUCAUGAAAGUGGUUUUCUCAGGGUGAGGCUCAUCCAUUGCACUUCAGGUGUCCUGAUCCCUGUGAUUUCCCCAAAUGUGGGGAACUCAACUGCAUAAUUUGUGGUAGUGGAGGAUUGCAUUUGUGUUUUCCCUGG
ensembl:snRNA U1 U1 spliceosomal RNA